GCUAUAUCAGGAUAGGAUCACCCGUCCGGGCUAGAUCCUUUUUACCGCCAAUUCCUUUUCAGAGAUCCAUCAAAUUUUCCUUUCAUUCAACCGGGAUUUCUUCCCAUUUUAUCAAAUAUAUCAAUGUUUCAUUAAUUUUCAUACAAUGAACAUUCAAAUCAUAUUCGCAUCAAUAACAUACAUUUCAAGCAUUUAAGAAUAUAAUUCAAGUUACACGAACUUACUUGGCGAAAUUGCAAAAAUAUCAAGAUUUAGGAGUAUUUUGGUAAUUUACCAUUUUCC
rnacentral:lncRNA from 1 species